CACAAAAUAAGUGGAAGGUGUGACAUGAAGCGGACUUGUGUUUUUGCAGAUGAUGCAACCGUAUUUAUGGCUUAGAUCAAAAAAGAUGUUGACGACCUUUCUCGUAUUUGGAGAGGUUUUGCCAAGGUGACAGUUGAUAUGUCCAUUUUGCAUCAUAUUUUGUUACUGUUAUUUAUAGUGUUUUUAUGCAUUUUGCCACUUGGUGGAGUAAUUAUAAUGCCUUUUCUCUCAUAAUAUGUAAGGUUUACAUCAAGUGGGUGAAUACCGAC
rnacentral:lncRNA from 1 species